GUGCUCACUUCGGCAGCACAUAUACUAAAAUUAGAAAGAUACAGAGAUUUGCAUGGCCCCUGAAUCUUUAAAAUUUUUUUGAAAAAAGGAAUGUAGUAAAAAUUU